rnacentral:rRNA from 1 species
GGGGAAUCUUCCGCAAUGGGCGAAAGCCUGACGGAGCAACGCCGCGUGAACGAAGAAGGUCUUAGGAUCGUAAAGUUCUGUUGUUAGGGGCGAAGGGUACUACUUUGAAAAAGGGUAGUCUUUGACGGUACUUAACGAGGAAGCCACGGCUAACUACGUGCCAGCAGCCGCGGUAAUACGUAGGUGGCAAGCGUUGUCCGGAAUUAUUGGGCGUAAAGGGCGCGCAGGCGGUUUCAUAAGUCUGUCUUAAAAGUGCGGGGCUUAACCCCGUGAGGGGACGGAAACUGUGAGACUGGAGUGUCGGAGAGGAAAGCGGAAUUCCUAGUGUAGCGGUGAAAUGCGUAGAUAUUAGGAGGAACACCAGUGGCGAAAGCGGCUUUCUGGACGACAACUGACGCUGAGGCGCGAAAGCCAGGGGAGCGAACG